UUUCCUCUCCUUCACCUAGGCUGGCCUGGAAUUCAUGUUCAGUACAUGUAAAAGUAUAUUCACGAGUGCACAUGCCUGUAUAUGUGCAGAGAUGAGCAGGAAACAUCAGGUGUCCUUUUUGACUGCCACUUUCUAUGAGAAAGCUAAGUACACAAGCACAUGAUCUCAGAGGCUGUGCAAGCACAGAGAGGUGGGCCCUGCUGAUCUAACUCAGGUCUCAAGGUAGACAUGAACAUGGAAACCAGAUUGCCUACACCAGGAAUUUGGAGAAACCUAAUGGACUUCACAUAAGCAAUUGAAACUGUUGAAAAUUAGUGUGUUACUCCGGAUUUUCUAGAACGUUCUUACAAGUACAUCAUCAAUCGGGGCAGCCACAGAUCACGUGCUUUUGGUCUCCACAGUGCAAGGAAGGGGUUGUGAGCUCAUCUACACAGUGAAAAUCACUGUGGAGUGAGUUAAGGUGUGAGCACUCUCAGCUGGGUGCAUCUGGCUGCAGUGAGAGGGGAAGGGGAGUCAGGCUGAGAGUCUUCACAGCUGUAGCUUGCUCCAAUCAGAGCCGGAUGAGCUGUGGUUGGCAAUCCUGCUAAAUCUUUGGCCAAGUCUUUAAAAUCAGAGCAAGCUGGAGAGGAGAAAGGAGAGUGAGUGUGGACUUAGGCCACAUAAGAUGGAGAACCAUUUACCUAGUAUGCCUAUGAUGGAAAUCUUCUCCUAUCUGGAUGCUUACAGUUUGCUACAGGUUGCCCAAGUGAACAAGGUAAAAGCUCCUUGGCUGAACUCCUCCAUUCUGUGCAUCCUACAAAAGGCCCCUUUGGCCUUUCCCACUCAGUCUUGGAGUCUCAGCUACCACAGAAUCACAUUCACAGAGCUUCCCCUCUUCCGUCCUUCCUUCCUUCCUUCCUUCCUUCCUUCCUUCCUUCCUUCCUUCCUUCCUUUUUGUCCUUCCUUCCUUCUUUCAAUUUCUCCUAAAACUUACCUUAUUCAGGCCAGUCAACUCAGCUCUGACACAUUAGUGUCUCAGGGACUCGGCUGCUUCUCUUGACCAACAGGAGCUCCAUCCUACAGAAUAGCAAACAGAUAUAUCUAAAAUUCAUGGGUUAGUAUUAUCCAUUCUGAAGACCUCAAAUAUGGUUAAUUGAGGUAGGAGUGGUGGCACAUGUCAAUAAUUGAAGCACUUGUGAGGUGGAAGCAAGAUGAUCAGGAGUUUGAGUCAAAAUCACCCACAAGAAUUUAAAACCUGCCCAGGCAACUAGACAACCUAUCUCAGAACAGUAACAGUGAUAAAAAAAAAUUCUACUAAAAGAAUGGAUCAGGCUGCAGAUGGAGCAGAGAGGGAAGAAGAGGCCUUCGGAUUCUGGGCCUGGGCCUCUGCUGCAUGAGGAUGGUUAGUGAAUAAAAGUUUGCUCACUGUAACAGUGGCUCUAAAGUGAGGUGACUGGGGUCAGCCUAAUGGGAUUGCAACUCUGCAUUGCAGGAAGUUGUGUCAGAAGAGAUGGCUCUACUGUGACAUGGUCACCCUACAGCUCCAUGGCAAAGAGACAUGGAAAGAGUUCUUCAUUUACAGAACAUGGCAAGAACACGCCAAGUCCCGGGCAAAGCCAGAAGAUUUCACUUACAAGGAAAUUCCUGUGGAGUUUGGUAUAAGCUUGGGUACUCUAGAAGAGAUACCCCCUUGGUUUUUCCCAGUGUGUGCAGUCCUUCAUUCUCAUUUGAUAAGAGGAAGGGAAAUGUAGUUUAACAGCAUGGGCCUCCUGUACUAGUUUAGCCAUGGAACUACUCUGUGAUAUGCUGAGUGGUUGUUCUACAUCAUAAAACCAGAUCUAUUGUUCCCUUUCCCUGAAGGCUUCAUACCCUUCCCAGAGUAUAGAGAAAAUUUACUGGGGAAAUUACCAAAUAGGCUUUAGUAUUUAUCUCUUUCAAAAAAAUUCCUUAGACCAGUUUUCUGAUGGAGAGAUGCUUUGAAAUUUUUUACAUUUAUUAGUUUGGUGUUAGUGUAUGUGAGGUGUGUACAUGGCACAGUGUUUGUGUGUCAGAAGACAACUUAAUGGAAUCCAUUCUCCUGAAGGGAUGAAUUUUAUUUUUUCUGUUUAUUUGAGAUAAGGUCUCACUAUAUAGCUGUGUCGAGCCUGGAACUUUAUCUGUAGCCUAGGCUGGCCUCAUUUCAAGAACUGGUACAUGCCUUCAUGAGACUGCUAUAUCUCUAUACCUGAUUAUUUUCUUCUUCUUUCUCCUCCUUCUCCUUCUCCUUCUCCUCCUCCUCUUCCUCCUCUUCCUCUUCUUUCUCCUCCUCCUCUUCUUCUUCCUCUUCUUCCUUUUCUCCUCCUCCUCCUCUUCUUCUCCUCCUCCUCCUCCUCCUCUUCUUCUCCUCCUCCUCCUCCUCCUCCUCCUCCUCCUCCUCCUCCUCCUCUUCCUCCUCCUCCUCCUCCUCCUCCUCCUCCUCCUCCUCCUCCUUCUUCUUCUUCUUCUUCUUCUUCUUCUUCUUCUUCUUCUUCGUCUUCUUCUUCCUUCUCUCUCUCUCUCUCACUGGAUCUCAUGUACCACAUGCUGAUCUCAAACCCUUCAUGUAAAAACAACCAAUGAUCUUGAACUUUGGAUCUUCUGCCUCCAAAUGAGUACCAGUUUAAGGUUUAUAGGCCUCCAGGAACAGAACUAAGCACUCUGCCUAGGAGUUACAGCCCAGGCCCAGUACCCAUUUCAUAUCUAUAGAAACAGACUAAAGAAUGAAUGUAUCUGAACCAAUGACCAGCCUGCAGUGUGCUUGCCUGCCUCUCUCUUCCUCCUUUCCACAGCUGUUAUCUAAGCCUUCUUCAUGGCAGAGGGAAGUAAAACAUACCUCCUUCAGUUAGAGUUGUCCCUCAACUGUCUUGUGUCCACAUACUGUUGGGGUUUCCUUGCAGAAUCUCGGGCUUAUGCAUAUUAUAUCUCAAAACAUGACUUAACAAGAAAUGGACAAGGGAUGUCUGCUGUCUGUAUGGUGACUUCCAUGAACAGGAUUUCUACCUGGGAUAUUCACGAG
rnacentral:lncRNA from 1 species